UUUCAACUGAAGAGGAACGCACCGCCAGCCGGCAUAUUUUAGAUCAAUUUUAAUUAGCAAUUCUGCUCAGUUAAUUUUGCUAAGUCCUUCAAUGAAGUGGAUUCCACCGAGUGACGUCGUUAUGUUUGAUAUUACUGUUAGCCAAAAUGUGGAAAUUUUCGACACUCCAAAAUGGCGUCCACAGUUGCAGUGGCUGACUAGAUGCAAAAAAUCAUACAUUUUGUGAUUAGCGAGACAAUGUGAAGCUAUUUAACCGUUGUUUGCAGAACAUAGUCCAAAGCUGGAAUGGCCUCUGAAAUUAAUGCGUGGUGUCCACGGGACUAAUUUUUGAGAAUGCCGGUAACCACCGGGCAUUGCAGAUGGAAGUGAGUGAAAAAAUGCUACAAAUGGUUUCGAAAGGAGACAUCAUGGUAAAAUUUUCUGGAUUGUAAAUACUCCAAGUAAUUUCCAUGUCACUACCACAAUAAGGAUACAAGUAAUUCGCUCUGAUUAUGUUAUAUCCACAGAAACGUUGCGUUUUUCAGUGCAUCAUUUACCGGACAAACUGCGACUUUAUUUGCAGUUCGAUAAUUCCAUCAGCAGUGCGAAAAUAACCAAAGAACGCUAGACUAGCAGCGAACAAAACGUUUUCACAUCCAAGUUUUUCGAGACGGACUGUUCUGGAAGUUCUCGUGUUACCUGUUUCGGCUACUGCAUAAGAAUCUGCCUGAAGUUAAACACUGGAGCGUCGCAUCAAACAAGUAAAUUAGCUUUAAGAACUAGAGAUAUGUCAGUUCCAGAUAAGACGGAAGUAGCACAGUAUGAUAGAACAGUAAGAAGUGUUAUUGUUGGUGCAAUUUAUUAAAAAAAAAUCGGAACGUUUUUAUCAUGGUAAUAUUCACCAUCAUGUACGAACAGUUUCGAAACUUUCCAGUGUUAGGAUAUCGUUAUUGAUUUUGUGAGUUCGUGCUCAUUAAGUAAUUAUGCAGUGUCAAACCUAAAAGGUGAAAUGAAACAAGUUGAGUGGCAGGCGUCCAAAAGUGGGUAAACUACAGUCUCUUCACACACAGACUUGCGGAGAGUAAAACAGUUAAACACGGAAGAUCCCAUGAACUAUGCAUGGGCUUCCCUCUAUAGUUCUAGACUAUACAACUCUCACAAAUCCCCUUAUUUAGCUGAAUUUUUUGACACACAGUCUGUGCGGGUAAACCACCUGAAGUUUCUUGAAUAUUCUAUGGAACUACACGUGGAUUACGUCGAACAGUUAAAAAUGCAAUGUCAAUUUUGAAAAAAAUGGGUGAAUCUUUUUGGACGCCAGCCAUUCAAUUUGAGAUUGAAAACUUCUCUAAAUUUGACAACUCGAAUUUGAAUUUAUAUGGUAACAGUGUUAGUGUGAACAGCUAUUAUCUCCUAUAGUUCCAUUCGUCGAAUGUAUAAUUUUUGAUUACUACCCGGCUACAGUUAGUGUGAACGACAAUAUCUUUUUUAUUCGUGGUGGUAAUUUAACGUUUUUAUUAUCACUGAAGCGAGUUUCAUACUUCAUACGGUUCUUGAGUUAAUCAAAAUCAGUUCUCUCCGUCCAGUCAGCGUAAACACUGGAAGCAGUUUUGGUUACACUUCACUUUUGCUGGCAAGUUCUUUGCCUUUACGGUCGCCAUGUUUCUUUAAUGGUUCUACUUUUUGUACUGUACUAAUGUUUUGAGCAUGAGUUACCGCGAGUUACUGUAUCUUUUCUGUGUCAUUGUCACUUGUUGAAAGUGGGUCUUUUGGGUGCCGUUUCUGUUUAUUAUAAUUGGUUGCUGUGCCGAAUCCGCUUUAGGGUUGUAUGUCAACGUUAUAACGGACUGGCUGUUCUGAUGCGAAAGGCAAGUUUUUUUAGGCACUCGAGUUUAAUUGUUUUUGCUGGCUUGAGGUGUUGAGAAUGUGGGUCUUGUUUUGAGGGUACGUAGCUCGCUGUUUAAGAUUUGUAUUAACUGUGAGAAACGUGCGCUCUUGGCCAUACCACAAUCAAUCAUUUUUUCUCAUUUUAUCUACUCAUAGCGGUAAUCGUUAGGGCUGUAUACACUUGACAAAUAAAACGCGUCGCUAGUAUACAGCCACUGCACACA